UACGUAGGGGGCUAGCGUUGUCCGGAAUCAUUGGGCGUAAAGAGCGUGUAGGCGGCCCGGUAAGUCCGCUGUGAAAGUCAAAGGCUCAACCUUUGAAUGUCAGCGGAUACUGCCGGGCUAGAGUCCGGAAGAGGCGAGUGGAACUCCUGGUGUAGCGGUGGAAUGCGCAGAUAUCAGGAAGAACACCAACGGCGAAGGCAGCUCGCUGGGACGGUACUGACGCUGAGACGCGAAAGCGUGGGGAGCGAACAGG
rnacentral:rRNA from 1 species